rnacentral:rRNA from 1 species
GAGGGUGAUCGGCCACAUUGGAACUGAGACACGGUCCAAACUCCUACGGGAGGCAGCAGUGGGGAAUAUUGCACAAUGGGCGAAAGCCUGAUGCAGCAACGCCGCGUGCGUGAUGAAGGCCUUCGGGUCGUAAAACUCUGUCCUCAAGGAAGAUAAUGACGGUACUUGAGGAGGAAGCCCCGGCUAACUACGUGCAAGCAGCCGCGGUAAUACGUAGGGGGUUAGCGUUAUCCGGAUUUACU